AGGAUUCCCCUAGUAACUGCGAGUGAAGCGGGAAAAGCUCAAAUUUAAAAUCUGGCAGUCUUUGGCUGUCCGAGUUGUAUUCUAGAGAAGCGCUUUCCGUGCCGGACCGUGUACAAGUCUCUUGGAACAGAGCGUCAUAGAGGGUGAGAAUCCCGUCUUUGACACGGACUACCGGUGCUUUGUGAUGCGUUUUCAAAGAGUCGAGUUGUUUGGGAAUGCAGCUCAAAAUGGGUGGUAAAUUCCAUCUAAAGCUAAAUAUUGGCGAGAGACCGAUAGCGAACAAGUACCGUGAGGGAAAGAUGAAAAGCACUUUGGAAAGAGAGUUAAACAGUACGUGAAAUUGCUGAAAGGGAAACGCUUGAAGUCAGUCGCGUCGUUCAGAACUCAGCCUGGCUUUUGCUCGGUGCACUUUCUGAAUGACGGGCCAGCAUCAAUUUUGACUGUCGGAUAAAGGCCAGAGAAAUGUGGCUCCUUUGGGAGUGUUAUAGUCUCUGGUUGCAUACGAUGGUUGGGAUUGAGGAACUCAGCAUGCCUUUAUGGUCGGGGUUCGCCCACGUUCAUGCUUAGGAUGCUGGCGUAAUGGCUUUAAACGACCCGUCUUGAAACACGGACCAAGGAGUCUAACAUGCCUGCGAGUGUUUGGGUGGAAAACCCGAGCGCGCAAUGAAAGUGAAAGUUGGGAUCCCUGUCGUGGGGAGCACUGACGCCCGGACCAGACCUUCUGUGACGGAUCCGCGGUAGAGCAUGUAUGUUGGGACCCGAAAGAUGGUGAACUAUGCCUGAAUAGGGUGAAGCCAGAGGAAACUCUGGUGGAGGCUCGUAGCGAUUCUGACGUGCAAAUCGAUCGUCAAAUUUGGGUAUAGGGGCGAAAGACUAAUCGAACCAUCU
rnacentral:rRNA from 1 species